GUGAAUCAUCAAAUUUUUGAACGCAAAUUGCGCCUUUUUCGGAAGGCAUGUCUGUUUGAGGGCACCAUUUAACAAAUAAUGUGCAUUUCGUGUGCACACGUUGCUUAGCUUUCCAAAAUUAUAUAUUAUUAUUUUUUUUGUCGCAUAAUAAAAAUCGCGAUACGUUUUUUCAGUUGUUUUUUAGUAUAAUUUUUUCUUUCUUGGGUUUUGAAAGUCGUAAUCGCGCAAUGGGUGUUACGGUUUUA
rnacentral:misc_RNA from 1 species